GAGAGUAAGUUAAAUGCCAUUUGUAUGUUGGCAGUACCAGUAUUCUUGUUAUGAGAGUAGUUCACCUAGUGACUCCAUGUGAAUGUGGAGAAAGAAAGACUGAUGAAAGAACAGCUGCAUGCAAUUUUCUAUUACUUGGAUCUUUGGUUGAGGGCCUUCAGAAGGUACUCAGUCUAUUUUAGCAAACUAUAUCUUCCACCUCUUUCUGAUAUGACAGACAGUGCUGUGUUGUCAACAUUACAAAUGUUCAGGCUCUGAAACAUGGAAAUGCUUUUUUGCCCUCUAUCCACUGACAAAAGGUGAUCAUCCAUCACUGCCAUCAAAGUAAUUUUAGUUCACUCUCUUUCCCUGACCUGAAUUCAGAGUCAUUAACUCAGUUUCAUAGGAGCAUAAUUUCAAUCAUUUAACUAAUAGCAUUUCAGAAUUUAGCACGUGUUGUUCACUGAGUGUCGUUCUGUGAAGUGUUUGAGACAUCUUCAAGAAUAUCAGGACUCAAGUCCUUAGCAGGAUACAAACCCUUCAAAAACACAUUCUCUGGGAAGCACAAAUGACUGCACAUUGCAAAAUCACCCAGGAGUGCAAUAUGCAGGAUGAAUGGUUUCCAUCUCUACAUUGCAUUUUCCAGUUCCCAGAAACUAACUCACAUGGGAAAAGCCUUUUUAAUCCCAAUAUAAAACAUAGAGGCGAAAUCUGUCAAUUGUUAAAUACCCUGCAAAAUCCCACUUCUUCUGUAAAACUUGCAGGAAAUUCCUAUUGCCUAUUUCUGUUUCCCUCUAGAUAGAUAAAACACUUUCCAUCCCAAUCUUACACUUUGAUACAUAGUAUUUGUACAAACACCUUUAAAGGACUUUACUUUCUGUGGAAGCCAAUAGCAAGCACUUCAUGAGUGCCAGCAACAUCUUAGAAACAUCUUGUAAAGGAUGGCUGAGUGAUUUCAUUUCUAAAUGCCAGAUCCCUUGAUGUUGAAUACAUGACCACAGCACAGGCAAGGAGAUUUAAUUCGUUGUUCUGACAGGCAUAUUCAGGUUUUCUUUAAGUAAAAACAAAGAAGUAGGUCAUUUGUCUUCCCUCAGAUGACAUUCCUGCCUGGAACAGCUACAGCUGCAGUGUCAAUGGAGAGCUAUCCUCAUGUGGCUGCAAGCACGCAAUGCUGAUGGGCGAGUUAAGUGUCCUCAGCCACCCCUUCUCUCUCUGCAGUAAAUUCACCUCCUUGUGGGCACAGGCUCCCAGAAGGAAGCUGCCGCUGUGCUCAUGCUGCUCACAGCUGUGCUGCUGUCACUGUGCUGGUACAGUUGUGAGUGCUAGAACACACACCUUGAACAGCUAGAAAACUGGUGAGUCAGAGUCCUGCUGCACCCCAUGCAGUAUCACUGCAGGGUGGUUUAUGGCACAAAACAAAGAUCUCUGUGGUUUAUAGAAAUGAUGCUGGCAGUCUGGUAGAUAUAAUAAAAGUUUCACCAGACAAAUUGAGUUCUGUGGUGAAAAAUGUCAUCAGCUACUGUAUGCUGCAGCCCUGAAAUGUUACAUCCCUUUGCUGUCCUGCUUAGUUUGCUCUUCCAUGUUCUUGUAAGCAGAAAUAAUUACAUUUAGCAAGAUGUCAUACCUGCUUUUUAAAGAAAUCUUUCUGUGUUGUGACAUCAGAUUUUGUACUAGAGGUGUUCACAUUGAUGAAAAUUUGAAAAAGCAAAUGAAAAUACUAAUAAAAUAUUUUCUGAAAUGUUUAAAAUGUAAUUUUUCUUUAAGAGUCAAUGCCUACUGAAUAGUUAUGUAAUAAUGCUUAAAUGCAGUCUUUUCUUAGUCUUUCAUUAGGCAUAAUGAUUAUAAUGUAAAGUCACAUCAAAAGACAAAAGCAUACUGCUAUGAAAAAAGCCCUUGUGAGUCCUGUCAUUCUCAGGAAAUCAUGUUUGACAGAAACUUAUUUAUUUUAAGUUUUGUUACAAAGUACAAUAAAAAAAAAAGCCAAGUAAACAUACAUCUCCUCAUGCCUGAAGGUCCACUUCCACAUCUCAGUGUCUUUUAAGAGCGUUAGGCCAAGUUCCAAGCGGGAUUCACUCUCUACUAGAACUCCAAUCCCCUCAAGAACAUUAGGCUUAGUGCCAGCAUUCAUUUACUCUUGAAGCAGCUUAAAUUAACUCCUGUUACAUUCUGUCUAAACCCUUUCUUACAGAGUAAGAGUUGAGAGCUGGAUUCAGUCAGUUAGUCUGAAGGCCACCCAUCAUGCUUGUCUGUCUUCCUGGACUUAAAAUGCUGCAUAAACUAGAUUGGGGAAGUCAGUGAUCAGCUGUUUGUAAGUUGAGGGGGGAAGCUGGCAAGCCAUCUUUUGUAUACAUGUCCCCAUUUUAUGAGAAAUAGCGUGGGGGUUGGUUUGACUUAUUUAACAUAAGUACAUAUGACAGUAAGCUCCAACCAAAUGUGAGAUUUUAGUAGGCUGUAAAGUGUACUAACAGUAUUUUGAUACUUUCCUGGCAUAGCUGAACAGACAGCUAAUCAAAAGAGAGCAAAUAUCACUGCUUGGUUUUGUAAGUCAAGAACUGGAUUGUAAGAUUAUAUUUUGUCCAAUGUCAGACAGAAGAUUGAAAUGAAAGGUCUCACAAAGCCAGACCUUCCUUAGCUCUUCUUUAGACUUAUGUGGUCUCUUAAGAAUAUAAUUUCGGUUUUACUUUAGCAAACAUGAGAACAGUCUUUUUGCCUAUGAGUACAAGGCAAACACUAAAUCAGGUAAGGAUGCAAGCACAGGGAAGACAAGUUUUCCGAAAAGCGAUUAACACAAAAUGUUCUUAGCACAAUUAGAAAAGUACAGGGUAAUUGACAGAACUGGACAGUCAUUAAAGUUGGUCAGCUGAUACCUUGGUCUCUAUCCAGAGGCUCAAAAGUCCUGCACCAAGGUCUUCAUGGUGAAGGCUAGAAGCUGGGUUCAGAGAUUUCCAAAGCUGCUUUGUAUGACUGUUAUUCAUAGAAUAGUUAGAACCUUUCAAGGUCAUCUAGUUGACCUCCCUCCAAUGAGCAGAAACAUCUUCAGCUAGGUCAGGUUGCUCAGAGCCCUGUUCAGCUUUGACCAUUUUCAUAAUUUCUACCCAUCCCUGCUCCACAAGAAAAAAACAGAACCAAACAACAAAUAAAGAAGAGACUACUUUCAAGAAAUCUGAAUUACCUUCCUCCAAUGAAGAAUCUUUUAAGCUGUUAGUUUGUAAAAAGUCCAGUUGUUUUCUAUGCUUUGGAAAUGGAACUAAUUACCAGACAGUCAACAUUCAUCCACUAGUAGGUCUGAAAAUAAAUAUGAGCAUUUUGUGGCUAGAUAACACCAUUCAGCUCAUAAAUAAGACUUCACAGCAAUCUUUGCAGUUAGGAGCUACACUAUAAAUAUAGCUUAUCUUCAAAUAUUUUCAACUUGCUAAAGUUACUUGAAAGCUUAUCAUUAUAGAGUCCAUUUAAAAGGAAAAGAAUUAAAAUUUAUCUAAGAUAUGUGUCCCCAAAUACCUCUCAUAGCAUUCAUUUAUACUGACCUUUCUAACUCAUUGUCUUCCCACACUCUUUGUAUGUAGCUAGCUGAGAAACGUUGCUGGUGUAUGUAACAAAUUCCUUCAAGCUUCAGAAUUACUUUUUUAAAGUGAAGUUGAAAAUCAGAAAAGAAAGGUUGAAAGCAAAAUUCUUACUUAAAAAAAUCUGAGAAUGGAAGAUAACAGUAAUGGAAUCGGAAAGAUUUUAAAAUGCAGUUUUAAGUUGACAGUGACCUUCUUGUGAUAAAUAUUUGAUUUAUUAAAGAUAUGGCACACAGACUGAUUAAGCAUUAAAAUGAAUACAAAAGGCAGAUCAAAACUGAUAUUCUUUGGUGAAGGAAUAUUCAUUUUUUAAAUUUGAGAAGUUUAUUUGCUGUUACUUUCUAAGUAAGGCCAUAGGUCUCAGUUCAGUGACAAGUUUCAGAUAGUAUGCCUAAUUUUAAGCACUUUGAAAAAUUCUGUGCUCUGAAGCAAGACUAUUUAGACAUAAAAUUAACUGUAUACAUAAAUCUUUGAAGAUUCAAGACUUUUUUGCUAUUAGAUGUGAACUGUAGUUCAACUGCUGUUUUUAAUGAUAAGAUCCCAUGGCACUUUUGCAACAAUAAUAGAAGUCCCCUGAAAAUGUUUUAAGUAAUGGAAUUACAUUAUGUAUUUUAGCACUUAUAUUCUCCUCAUGUUUUUGGCUAAAAAGUUGUCCUUAAUUUUUCUUCCUUUGAAAACAUUCUUCUGCAGUGCUGCUAGCACUAAGUCUCAAAAAGAGAGACCUAUAGACCGCAGUCUAAAGCAACUACAUGUUGCUGCUACUGUGAUUUAUUAAUGAAAGUCACUUUAAUUAUCACAUCCUUAAUACUACUGAAGAUGGUGAAGUGUAUAUAAUUUCUGUGAAAAAUAAAGGAAUAAUAAAACUCUAAAUUAC